CCUACGGGAGGCAGCAGUGAGGAAUAUUGGUCAAUGGACGAGAGUCUGAACCAGCCAAGUAGCGUGAAGGAUGAAUGCCCUAUGUGUUGUAAACUUCUUUUAUAAAGGAAUAAAACGAGGCACGUGUGCCUUUUUGCAUGUACUUUAUGAAUAAGGAUCGGCUAACUCCGUGCCAGCAGCCGCGGUAAUACGGAGGAUCCGAGCGUUAUCCGGAUUUAUUGGGUUUAAAGGGAGCGUAGAUGGGUUGUUAAGUCAGUUGUGAAAGUUUGCGGCUCAACCGUAAAAUUGCAAUUGAUACUGGCAGUCUUGAGUACAGUUGAGGUAGGCGGAAUUCGUGGUGUAGCGGUGAAAUGCUUAGAUAUCACGAAGAACCCCGAUUGCGAAGGCAGCUUACCAAACUGUGACUGACAUUGAUGCUCGAAAGUGUGGGUAUCAAACAGGAUUAGAUACCCGAGUAGUC
rnacentral:rRNA from 1 species